CAAGUACAUCUUGAAUGAUCAUCAACGAAACUAACAAAAUAACGAAAUCCCAAGGUUGAACUAACUUAACUAGGACCCCAUAUAUCCGAAACUAAAGAAAAAACAGACUCUGCACGACUCUCAAUACUACGAGGAAAGGCGCGGGUAUGUUUCCCGAGCUGACAUGACUAACACUCUAAUGUGGAUAAACUAGACAAACGAGGCACCAUCUUCUGAAGUUUGGACAAGCUAGG
rnacentral:lncRNA from 1 species